AUUGAACGCUGGCGGCAGGCCUAACCCAUGCAAGUCGAACGAGUGGCGGACGGGUGAGUAAUGUCUGGGAAACUGCCCGAUGGAGGGGGAUAACUACUGGAAACGGUAGCUAAUACCGCAUACCAUCGGAUGGGACCAGCGGGGAUUAACUAGGAGGUGGGGUAACGGCUCACCUAGGCGACGAUCCCUAGCUGGUCUGAGAGGAUGACAAUCCACCCUGUAACUGAGACACUGUCCAUACUCCUACGGUAGGCAGCAGUGGGGAAUAUUGCACGAUGGUCGCAAGCCUUAUGCAGCCAUGCCGCGUGUAUGAAGAAGUCCUUCGGGUUGUAAAGUACUUUCAGCGAGGAGGGGUUACUCGCAGAAGAAGCACCGGCUAACUCCGUGCCAGCAGCCGCGGUAAUAC
rnacentral:rRNA from 1 species